rnacentral:rRNA from 1 species
GAACGGGUGAGUACACGUGGGUGAUCUGCCCUGCACUUUGGGAUAAGCCUGGGAAACUGGGUCUAAUACCGAAUAGGACCACGCGCUUCAUGGUGUGUGGUGGAAAGCUUUUGCGGUGUGGGAUGGGCCCGCGGNCNNNCAGCUUGUUGGUGGGGUAAUGGCCUACCAAGGCGACGACGGGUAGCCGGCCUGAGAGGGUGACCGGCCACACUGGGACUGAGAUACGGCCCAGACUCCUACGGGAGGCAGCAGUGGGGAAUAUUGCACAAUGGGCGCAAGCCUGAUGCAGCGACGCCGCGUGAGGGAUGACGGCCUUCGGGUUGUAAACCUCUUUCAAUAGGGACGAAGCGCAAGUGACGGUACCUAUAGAAGAAGCACCGGCCAACUACGUGCCAGCAGCCGCGGUAAUACGUAGGGUGCGAGCGUUGUCCGGAAUUACUGGGCGUAAAGAGCUCGUAGGUGGUUUGUCGCGUUGUUCGUGAAAACUCACAGCUUAACUGUGGGCGUGCGGGCGAUACGGGCAGACUAGAGUACUGCAGGGGAGACUGGAAUUCCUGGUGUAGCGGUGGAAUGCGCAGAUAUCAGGAGGAACACCGGUGGCGAAGGCGGGUCUCUGGGCAGUAACUGACGCUGAGGAGCGAAAGCGUGGGGAGCGAACAGGAUUAGAUACCCUGGUAGUCCACGCUGUAAACGGUGGGUACUAGGUGUGGGUUCCUUCCUUGGGAUCCGUGCCGUAGCUAACGCAUUAAGUACCCCGCCUGGNGAGUACGGCCGCAAGGCUAAAACUCAAAGGAAUUGACGGGGGCCCGCACAAGCGGCGGAGCAUGUGGAUUAAUUCGAUGC